AGGACGAACGCUGGCGGCGUGCCUAACACAUGCAAGUCGAACGAGGUCCAACCGGUAGCAAUACUGGUGAAGAUCAAGUGGCGAACGGGUGAGUAGCACGUGAGCAGCCUGCCCCGAAGACCGGGACAACACCGGGAAACCGGUGCUAAUACCGGAUACCCCCACCGAAUCGCAUGGUUUGGUGAGGAAAUGGAUUCCGCUUCGGGAGGGGCUCGCGGCCUAUCAGCUUGUUGGUGAGGUAACGGCUCACCAAGGCUUCGACGGGUAGCUGGUCUGAGAGGACGAUCAGCCACACUGGGACUGAGACACGGCCCAGACUCCUACGGGAGGCAGCAGUGGGGAAUCUUGCACAAUGGGCGAAAGCCUGAUGCAGCAACGCCGCGUGAGGGACGAAGGCUUUCUGAGUUGUAAACCUCUUUCAGCAGGGACGAUUGUGACGGUACCUGCAGAAGAGCCCGGCAACUACGUGCCAGCAGCCGCGGU
rnacentral:rRNA from 1 species